rnacentral:rRNA from 1 species
CAGCCGCCGCGGUAACACGUAGGGUGCGAGCGUUAAUCGGAAUUACUGGGCGUAAAGCGUGCGCAGGCGGUUGUGUAAGACAGGUGUGAAAUCCCCGGGCUUAACCUGGGAACUGCGCUUGUGACUGCACAGCUAGAGUAUGGCAGAGGGGGGUGGAAUUCCACGUGUAGCAGUGAAAUGCGUAGAGAUGUGGAGGAACACCGAUGGCGAAGGCAGCCCCCUGGGCCAAUACUGACGCUCAUGCACGAAAGCGUGGGGAGCAAACAGGAUUAGAUACCCCAGUAGUCCCUGUCUCUUAUAC